rnacentral:tRNA from 1 species
GCGGGUAUGGUGAAAUUAGCAGACACGCUACCCUUAGGAGGUAGUGGCCGCAAGGCCGUGGGGGUGCAAGUCCCUCUACCCGCA